rnacentral:lncRNA from 1 species
AUGAAUUUUAUGAGACAGAGAUUAAUCGAAUCCCAUUACUGCUUGCGAUAUGGCAGAUAUUUAUCAUUUUCGAAGCAUUCUUGGUGUCCUCAAUGGCAGCUCAGCUAUUGCUGGACACAGGCACCCACCAGCACAUCAAAAGGCAGGAGUCCAGGACACUGGGCAGGUGAGCCCAAGCUGUGGAAGAGGCAAGGGCUGAGGCCGACCUGUGGCUGCAGGUGUCUGGGACGCAGGUAGAACGCCCAGUGGAGUCGGGAUCCCAGAGCCAGCGCCAGGGCUC